GACGAACGCUGGCGGCGUGCUUAACACAUGCAAGUCGAACGGAAAGGCUCCAGCUUGCUGGAGUACUCGAGUGGCGAACGGGUGAGUAACACGUGGGUAAUCUGCCCUGCACUCUGGGAUAAGCCUGGGAAACUGGGUCUAAUACUGGAUAUGACCUUUCUCCUUAUGGGGUUUGGUGGAAAGUUUUUCGGUGUAGGAUGAGCCCGCGGCCUAUCAGCUUGUUGGUGGGGUGAUGGCCUACCAAGGCGACGACGGGUAGCCGGCCUGAGAGGAUGAUCGGCCACAUUGGGACUGAGAUACGGCCCAGACUCCUACGGGAGGCAGCAGUGGGGAAUAUUGCACAAUGGGCGGAAGCCUGAUGCAGCGACGCCGCGUGAGGGAUGACGGCCUUCGGGUUGUAAACCUCUUUCAGCAGGGACGAAGCGUAAGUGACGGUACCUGCAGAAGAAGCACCGGCUAACUAUGUG
rnacentral:rRNA from 1 species